GAUGAACGCUGGCGGCGUGCCUAAUACAUGCAAGUCGAGCGAACGGACGAGAAGCUUGCUUCUCUGAUGUUAGCGGCGGACGGGUGAGUAACACGUGGAUAACCUACCUAUAAGACUGGGAUAACUUCGGGAAACCGUAGCUAAUACCGGAUAAUAUUUUGAACCGCAUGGUUCAAAAGUGAAAGACGGUCUUGCUGUCACUUAUAGAUGGAUCCGCGCUGCAUUAGCUAGUUGGUAAGGUAACGGCUUACCAAGGCAACGAUGCAUAGCCGACCUGAGAGGGUGAUCGGCCACACUGGAACUGAGACACGGUCCAGACUCCUACGGGAGGCAGCAGUAGGGAAUCUUCCGCAAUGGGCGAAAGCCUGACGGAGCAACGCCGCGUGAGUGAUGAAGGUCUUCGGAUCGUAAAACUCUGUUAUUAGGGAAGAACAUAUGUGUAAGUAACUGUGCACAUCUUGACGGUACCUAAUCAGAAAGCCAUGGCUAACUACGUG
rnacentral:rRNA from 1 species